GGAAUUUGCAGCACACACACAUGGCAGAGAGCUGUGAGGAGAAGUGGGUUUCACCCAUAUUGUAUAGAUUAAAAUUCAGCCUUUGCCCUCAAGUGCAAGUAGCUGUUUUCAUACAGUGAAAGAAAAAAAAAAUCUAAUGAGAUGAUCUGCACAGUGGCAAUCUUUUCUAAGGGGUACAAGAAUGUCAGAAGGGGAAUGAUUAACAGGAAUGAACCCUACUGUGGCUACUAUAUCUCUUCACAUCAGACUUCUUCUGCACAAACAAACCUCCAUGUGGCAUAGCUUAAUUUUUUUAAUGAAAUUUCAUGUAUUCUACCAAAACAAAUUGACUCGA